GCGAAGAGAGCUUGAUGGUUUGAGCGUUAGAUUGUGAAUCUAUAGGUUGUGGGUUCGAAUCCCAUUCUUCGCC
rnacentral:tRNA from 1 species